rnacentral:lncRNA from 1 species
UGGAAUUUGUUUAAUAUACAGAACUGCAAACAGCAACUAACUGGUCCACUAUUAAAACACGUCAAACGUUGCCUCGUUCAACAUUAUAGGAGAAGCCGUUUGUGUGUGGGCAACCUUAACAAGCAACUUGAAACCUCCAUGUCUAGUAGGUACAGGUGGUCCCCUCGUUCAGUACAGGUGGCCCCCUCGUUCAGUACAGGUGGUCCCCUCGUACAAUACAGGUGGUCCCCUCGUACAAUACAGGUGGUCCCCUCGUUCAGUACAGGUGGUCCCCUCGUUCAGUACAGGUGGUCCCCUCGUUCAGUACAGGUGGUCCCCUCGUACGGUACAGGUGGUCCCCUCGUACGGUACAGGUGGUCCCCUCGUUCAGUACAGGUGGUCCCCUCGUACGGUAAAGGUGGUCCCCUCGUACAAUACAGGUGGUCCCCUCGUUCAGUACAGGUGGUCCCCUCGUUCAGUACAGGUGGUCCCCUCGUUCAGUACAGGUGGUCCCCUCUUACAAUACAGGUGGUCCCCUCGUAUGAUGCAAUUGGUCCCCUCGUUCGGUACAGGUGGUACCUUCCUACAGUGCAAUUGAUCCCCUCGCUCCCCCAGUAACAUGCUGCCUGUACGGGUAUUAAAGCAGUGAAGUACCUGUGGGUGCCAAGCAAGUGCGUUGCCCUGUUAUAAUGUGAUGAUGUUAAUUGUCACCGAGGGUCGUGAGUCACUUGUAUAUUGUGGCAACAUUUUACUUGUGCUGACAUUGUUGAAGUAUACUCUGUCUCCCCGUCGUCGUCGGCCUGUCUGGUCGGCGGUGUAGACAUGAGUCACUGCUGCUGCUGCUGUGUGUUGAUACAUGAGAAUGAACAUUGGCUUGCUCGUGUACUAGUAGACGAUACAUUAUAGCAAGUGGAGCAGGAAACAACGCUUUGCUAUUUGAGAUAAUGCUUUG